GCUAUAUUUGUUUACCUUUGCGUUUAAAUAAAAAAAAUGUCCCGAGUGAUUUAACGACGCUGAAGGUUGCCAAAAAUAUGAACUGCUGUCCACACAUGACAGCAGUGAUGCUCAAGGUGCUGGAAAAAGCAGAAACCUUUGUUUCUGUAGUUCCAAGAAUGUGCUAUGAAGAGGCAGAUUCAGCAGAGGCCAAAGGAAUGACUAGAAAACUGAACUGUUCGUUGCGUCUUCAGAUGGACGGCAAGUGAACUAGCGAAUAUGAUCCAGUGAACUCAAAGGCCUGCACACAAAAAUUGGAGGAUGGAACUGGUACCUGUUGACAAGCUUUUGAAGAAGGAUGUAACACAGCAGUGAAGCAUCUGGAGUGAACUUCGGUGAACAUGGACAUGGAAAAAAAUCUUGUUAAUGGCAAAGAAUGAACAUUCAGUAAACUAAUUCAGCAAUAAAACUGCCACUUUGCUUCAUGCUUUACUUCAGGUCAUGUGAUGUUACUGUAGCAAAUGAAAUUGCUGUUGAGAGGCAAUAUGGUAUUGUGAACAUUUUGCUGUAAUGUACUCAAGAUGUAAUGUUCCUUCAAGAAACUGAAAUACUAUUUUGUAACAAAUGUAAAAAAAAAAAAAUUAGGUUGAAAUACAUAGUUAUUCUAUUCGAA